CGCCUGCAUGAAGGCGGAAUCGCUAGUAAUCGCGGAUCAGCAUGCCGCGGUGAAUGCGUUCCCGGGCCUUGUACACACCGCCCGUCACACCAUGGGAGUCGGGGGCGCCCGAAGGCGCGUGCAGCGCUGAAGGCGAACCUGGCGACUGGGGUGAAGUCGUAACAAGGUAUCCGUACCGGAAGGUGCGGAUGGAUCACCUCCUUU
rnacentral:rRNA from 1 species